rnacentral:rRNA from 1 species
UACAGAGGGUGCGAGCGUUAAUCGGAAUUACUGGGCGUAAAGCGCACGCAGGCGGCUCGAUAAAUUAGAAGUGAAAGCCCCGGGCUUAACCUGGGAAUUGCUUUUAAGACUGUCGGGCUAGAAUCCAGAAGAGGGUAGUGGAAUUCCGAGUGUAGAGGUGAAAUUCGUAGAUAUUCGGAAGAACACCAGUGGCGAAGGCGACUACCUGGUCUGGCAUUGACGCUCAUGUGCGAAAGCGUGGGGAGCAAACAGG